rnacentral:lncRNA from 1 species
CCAAGCCUUCAUGACCAUGAACAAAAUGAGGUUCUGGGUGGAGACUGAAAAGAUCCUUUCAGCUUAAAAGAGAUUCAUUAUGAAUAAGUAUACUGGGCAAUUUAAUUUUGAUUUAACCCAACUGAGUAAACUGCUCAUCUCACCUAGCAGCAUGGACCACAGUUCAAAUGCUUAGUUACUGUCAUAACUUGCUUACAAGUUCAAAUAGCUUCCCAGGCAAAUAAAACUGCAAAUGGUCAUUAGCUUAAAUAUUACUUCCUACAAAAUGUCAUUCAUUUCAUAGUUGACAGCAGGAGCCCAGAGUUUUAUUACAACAGCCCCUCUCAGAGGCCUUGGGUGAGCACAUGGACCUGCACCUCUGCUGAGACACCAAACUGGCUUUGUUUGGUGCUUCUCCCAGGGAAACAGAGGGAAUAUUGUCCUGGAUUGAUUUAAUUGCUAGUCCAUGCAAAGCUGAAAAUCUUACAGAGCAAGCAGGAAUAACAUCAUUGUCCUC